UGCAGUCGAGCGGACAGAUGGGAGCUUGCUCCCUGAUGUUAGCGGCGGACGGGUGAGUAACACGUGGGUAACCUGCCUGUAAGACUGGGAUAACUCCGGGAAACCGGGGCUAAUACCGGAUGGUUGUUUGAACCGCAUGGUUCAGACAUAAAAGGUGGCUUCGGCUACCACUUACAGAUGGACCCGCGGCGCAUUAGCUAGUUGGUGAGGUAACGGCUCACCAAGGCGACGAUGCGUAGCCGACCUGAGAGGGUGAUCGGCCACACUGGGACUGAGACACGGCCCAGACUCCUACGGGAGGCAGCAGUAGGGAAUCUUCCGCAAUGGACGAAAGUCUGACGGAGCAACGCCGCGUGAGUGAUGAAGGUUUUCGGAUCGUAAAGCUCUGUUGUUAGGGAAGAACAAGUGCCGUUCAAAUAGGGCGGCACCUUGACGGUACCUAACCAGAAAGCCACGGCUAACUACGUGCCAGCAGCCGCGGUAAUACGUAGGUGGCAAGCGUUGUCCGGAAUUAUUGGGCGUAAAGGGCUCGCAGGCGGUUUCUUAAGUCUGAUGUGAAAGCCCCCGGCUCAACCGGGGAGGGUCAUUGGAAACUGGGGAACUUGAGUGCAGAAGAGGAGAGUGGAAUUCCACGUGUAGCGGUGAAAUGCGUAGAGAUGUGGAGGAACACCAGUGGCGAAGGCGACUCUCUGGUCUGUAACUGACGCUGAGGAGCGAAAGCGUGGGGAGCGAACAGGAUUAGAUACCCUGGUAGUCCACGCCGUAAACGAUGAGUGCUAAGUGUUAGGGGGUUUCCGCCCCUUAGUGCUGCAGCUAACGCAUUAAGCACUCCGCCUGGGGAGUACGGUCGCAAGACUGAAACUCAAAGGAAUUGACGGGGGCCCGCACAAGCGGUGGAGCAUGUGGUUUAAUUCGAAGCAACGCGAGAACCUUACCAGGUCUUGACAUCCUCUGACAAUCCUAGAGAUAGGACGUCCCCUUCGGGGCAGAGUGACAGGUGGUGCAUGGUUGUCGUCAGCUCGUGUCGUGAGAUGUUGGGUUAAGUCCCGCACGAGCGCACCCUGAUCUAGUGCCAGCAUCAGUGGC
rnacentral:rRNA from 1 species